AUGAUAUCUUUUUUUAGAUCUCUGAUAAAAUGCUCUAUACCCUAUCCAUUGUCUACCUACAGGGAUGCUAACACUGUUAAUGAUGUUAUGGAAUUUGUACUUCAAAACUUCACAGAGAUGAAUAAACUUUGGGUCUGAAUGCAUCAUCAGGUUAGUUGAAAUUUUAGAGAACUAUCGCUAGUGUUUGGGCACAAACAGUAAGUGCAUGCCAUAAAUUAAAAAUUGGAGCAUGGGGCUUUGUGAAGGGAAGAUGCAGUGCAGGUUGAAUUUCAAGCUAUUCUACAUGUUUGACAAAAUUCCUCAACCAAACUCUGUUUCUCACUAAUGAAUCGUAUCAGCUCCAAGUUGAUUUCCCCAAGCAUUACCUCAUGGAAGCACCUCAAGCCAUCUAACUGGAGGAAAAAGCGAAUCCAUUUUCACGACUUCAUGUUGGGUGUCCAUAGUCGCCUUUAAGGUCCGUGUACACUGGAGUAGACUUCUAUAAGAAGUUGUGUGGAGUAUCCAUUAUUCAAAGUUGGUGCCAACUAUCACAGAGUUCGUGAUAGUAGAACUUCUUUACUUGCAAUGGAUGGAUCCAAACCAGCCAAUUUAUCUUUACAUCAAUUCAAUUGGAACGACUUGUGAUGAUGGUGAAACGAUAUGUUGAUGCAUCAAAAGUGAGGAGUAAGAUGCUAAGGCAAUUGUGGUGGAUUAGUUUACUGGAAAUUUGGCUAAUUUGUAGUUGUAGUUUCUCUUUUCUUUGGUUUUUCUUUUCCUUUAAUUCUUUUGACUUUUGGCCUUUUAUGCAAUAAAAUCUUCUAAGUUAUAAAAAGAAAAAGAAAAAAAAUCAUCUUGUUGACCUGCUAGUAAACAAGGGGCUUGCUAUUCCCAUAUGCACGCUCUCCACAUGCAAAUGCAGCAGAGUGCCAAGAUGGCUGGUCCACUCAUCAGGCAGCCACCCUUAUAUGAAAGCAAUGGAUGGUUUAAGAUAACUUGCCAACAUUGUUAAAAAAGAAGAAGAAGAAAAAGAAAAAAGAAAGAUUACUUACUAACAGUCAAUAGUCAACAUAGACAAAUCUAUAAGUCCUUUAGAGAAAAUCCUUUCCUUAAAAUGCUUCCUAUGACGGUGGAUUGUUUAAGAUUAACUUGCCAAUAGUCCACUGUCAACAUAGACAUCUAUGUAAGCCCUCUGGCAAAAAUCGCUUUCCUAUUAUCUCUUCAUGCUUCCUAUGAUGGAUGCUUCCUAUAGCCAUCUAUUUCAUCUUUAAUUGCAUUGUAUUUUAGUUGAUAUGAUUCUUUUUCACAUGUGCUUACAAGCUCUGCUUCAGAAUUUUUCUCUAUAAUUUUUUGUGAAACCUUUUAUCUAUGCUGCAAGUCAUUCAUUUGUUGCACCAACCUUUUGUGUACUUCAUUCUUCUUAAGAACUUCUAUUUUUUUUUCUGGAAUAAUGGCAGGGUUUUGAUAUGAAACUAAUCAAUGUAAAUUGGACUUGCAAAGUUACAAAGGGAGGACAAGUGGUCAAGUACACUGUCAUGUUAGCUUGUGACAACUAUCAUGGAGUUGUGGGCUUUACAAAAGGAAAAGGCCUAGCAAUUCCCAUUGCCCUCCAGAAGGUAUUCAUGAACUUACUUCUUCAAAUGGUCUGAAUCCCCUCGUUGUUGAUGAUCGUGCUUUGGUAGCAGAUGCACUGCCUCUUGAGGGAGGAGGAUGUUGCAACAAUGUUACGACUUGCCUCUCAUGAAAAGAAAACCGUUUGGGUUCAUCAAAGAAGACUGGGUUUGAUGUCUACUUCUCCAUGGCUAGGGGGAAUGCCACUUUGCUUGCUAUGGAAAUGACCAAGUGCUUCGACAUCAGCUAGUAAGCCAUUGUUAUUAAGGUGUCUCUUGCUUGAUUUUAUACAUUAAGGAUCUGUUAUCAUAUUCAAUUUGUAAGAUGCUCCAAGUGUACAAGUACGAGCUUGAGCAAAACCCAACAUAAUUUCAAUUCUUGAUCCCAUGAAAGGCAAAUGUUGAUGCAGCAGUAGUUAAAAUAGUCAUGGCUGGGGCUGGAUGUGAAAAUGGUAGUAAAGUGGAACAAGUGAGAAAUGGCCUUCAUAUUGUUACAUUUAACAUUGUUGCGUUGUGGAAUAAAACUAUAAUUUCUCACAUGUUCUUUCAUUUUGUGUUUUCCCUUGUUGAACUCACAACCUUUCUCCAUCCUCAGAUAGCAUAUGCAGUAGUUGUUGCAUGGAUUUUGAAUGCUACUCUAGUAGUACCUCAGAUAACAUAUGCGCAUCUAAACCUCACUCUAUCUAGCUUCGUCCACUUUUUACAAGUUUGUAAUCAUCUCUUACCAUAAGAUUGAUAUUUGGAGCAUAUGUAUCUAUGGAAUAACCUGGAACAGUGGCUAAUGGCUAAGAUUUGUUUUGUAGGUUAGAAUUGAAUGGCAACCAUUCUUUUCUCUAUUAGAAGCUCCAUACUUCUAUUGGUAGGGCCCAUGGUAAUGUUUAUAACUGGUCUUUUUGUUAGUGCGCAAGUAAUCACAAAGUGUGAAGGUAAGCAGGAACUGAUUUGAGCAUGGGAAUGGAGAAGCUUUAGGUUCAAAAUGUUAGCAAGUAUGAAUAGCUAGGAGGCAGGAGCAGGAGCACAAAACAAAAACACAAUUCAAAGUGACUGUGGUACCUGGGUAGAAAAUUUUGCAGUGAUCUUCAUUUUGUGGGUAAGAUUGUCUUGUGAUCUUCAUUUUGUGGCCUAUGAAAUAUAUGUUGAACCUAGUAGAUCUUCAACAACAUAGGGAAGACAAAAACCUUUAAACUAAUGGAGUUUCAAUGGUCCCAUAGUCUCUCUAAAUCAACAGUCUUAUAUGUAGAGAUAAAGACAAUCAGUUAGUUUUAAAAUUAUGAUUUAAAUAUGUUGAUACUACAAUCAAGAAUUAAAUGAGUUUGUGACAAAGAAUUUAAGCAUGGAUGGCAUUGACUUGAAUAUAUUGGAUUUAUUUUUUGUG